UUUUAGUUGUCUAAAGAAAUGGUAUUUACUUACCAUGGGAUGUUAACCUCUGGAAGAAGUGGAGUUCAUUGUCUUUAUCCUUAUUUCAUUAAGGAUAGCAUGUGAAUCUGUAUAUCCUAUCUACUGGCUGAAACCUUUGGAGAGGACUGUUAGGAUAACCUAGCCAAAAGUUCACCAUCAAACAAUGUUUGCUUUACAGAACUCUACUUUAUCAGGCAUGUAGUGAUAGCAGUGGCAGUACGAAGGAGCUGUGGGUUGCCCUUCUGUUCUGCUAGGGACAAUGUGUGUGAUGUGGAGCAUGUGCUACAGCAGGAACACUUGUGUUCUCACUGCAGAGUAGUCCUACCUGAACUUUAAGAACAAAAAGCAUCUUCCAGCCGCUGAUGUCAGUGUUCAAGGUUGUGCUGUGAGCCCUAAGAGGAGGAAGAAUUAUGGUGGCUUUCCUGAGGAAAGAUUAAGAGAACCACAACCAUGUCUGGCCAUUACCAUCUUGGCACUUCAGCACAGUUGAUGGGGGAGGACGGUCACUGUUGUACUUACUUAUCUCCAUGUCAAAACAAAGGAUCAUCUCAAAGUAACAGAGCAGAGAUUACAAUGGUUGACACAGAAAUGCCGUUUUGGCCCGUUAAUUUUGGAAUUAGCCCAGUGGAUCUGUCUGCGAUGGAUGAUCAUAUGCAUUCCUUUGACAUAAAGCCAUUUACCACUGUUGAUUUUUCAAGCAUUUCUUCUCCACACUAUGAAGAUAUACCUCUUGGAAGAGCUGAUCAAACAAGCAUUGAUUAUAAAUAUGACAUCAAGCUCCAGGAUUGCCAAAGUGCAAUCAAAAUGGAGCCUCCUUCUCCACCCUAUUUUUCUGAAAAAGUGCAGUUAUACAAUAAACCUCAUGAGGAGUCUUCCAACUCCCUUAUGGCUAUUGAAUGUCGUGUGUGUGGGGACAAGGCCUCUGGAUUUCAUUACGGAGUACAUGCAUGUGAAGGCUGUAAGGGCUUUUUUCGAAGAACAAUCAGAUUAAAGCUUAUUUAUGACAGGUGUGAUCUUAAUUGUCGUAUCCAUAAGAAAAGCAGAAAUAAAUGUCAAUACUGUAGAUUUCAGAAAUGUCUUGCAGUUGGAAUGUCACAUAAUGCCAUCAGGUUUGGGCGAAUGCCACAAGCGGAGAAGGAGAAGCUCUUGGCAGAGAUUUCCAGCGACAUCGACCAGUUAAAUCCUGAAUCUGCUGAUCUGCGAGCGCUUGCCAAGCAUUUGUAUGACUCAUACAUAAAGUCCUUCCCUCUGACCAAAGCCAAGGCAAGGGCGAUCUUGACAGGAAAGACGACAGACAAAUCACCAUUUGUUAUUUAUGACAUGAACUCUUUAAGGAUGGGAGAAGAUCAGAUCAAAUGUAAGCAUGCAUCACCACUGCAGGAACAGAACAAAGAAGUAGCAAUUCGUAUUUUCCAGCGAUGUCAGUUUCGCUCUGUGGAAGCAGUGCAGGAGAUUACAGAGUUUGCAAAGAACAUUCCAGGUUUUGUGAAUCUUGACCUGAAUGAUCAGGUAACUCUCCUGAAAUAUGGUGUCCACGAGAUCAUAUACACUCUCCUGGCUUCUCUGAUGAAUAAAGAUGGAGUUCUUAUAUCUGAUGGACAAGGAUUCAUGACACGGGAGUUUCUGAAGAGCCUGAGAAAACCUUUUUGUGACUUUAUGGAGCCCAAGUUUGAGUUUGCUGUGAAGUUCAAUGCACUGGAAUUAGAUGACAGCGACCUGGCAAUAUUUAUAGCUGUCAUUAUACUAAGUGGAGACCGUCCAGGUUUGUUAAAUGUGAAGCCCAUUGAAGAUAUACAAGAUAAUCUGUUGCAAGCUUUGGAGCUCCAGCUAAAGCUGAAUCAUCCAGAAUCAUCACAACUGUUUGCAAAAUUGCUUCAGAAAAUGACGGACCUCAGGCAAAUUGUAACGGAACAUGUGCAGCUGUUGCAAAUAAUAAAGAAAACGGAAACAGAUAUGAGUCUUCAUCCACUCCUACAAGAAAUCUACAAAGACUUGUAUUAAUGGCGAUAGUAGUUCUUAUCCUCUGACAUAAUGGAAACAUUUUAAGUAUUAUGUUUGAUUCUGUGUUCCCAAGGCAGCAGCAAAGUAACAAUGAAGUUGAAUCAUGGAUUAGCGUAACUUCACACAAGAACUCAGAAGGUAAAAUUAGGCAUGUCAGGUCUAGUAGUUGUUCCUACCAUAAUAUAUUUUUACACUGAUAGAGUUCUGUAACGAGGACUUUGUAUAAGUAUGAAUUAGGGCCAUCAUUUAUGGACAAACUAAAAAACUUGACUCCAUUUCAAGCAUUAAUUGAGGAAUAUGCAUUGUUCAUCACUCUUAGGAAGCAGAUUUAUCGGUUGCUCUGCUCAGAGAGUUCCAAGACACGUGGUGAAGCAGUCUGUGUGGAGAUGCAGUGCAGCUGCCUCUCUGCCAUGAUCUGCAAUGCACAUGGCACACCAGACACCAGAUAGUGCUAAUGCAGCCUUCAGCUACUCUGGGAAGUCUGUUGGUGGAAUCGGUUCACAUAAUACCAAAGUUAUUUGAUGAACUCCCAUUGAAAAUAUACUCAGUCAGAAUGCUGUGAAAAAUUGGAAUAGGAUGACUCCUCUUAAAUAUAAGCAAGAUUUGAAUUCAUUCUUGAAAACACAAACCUGGAAUGGAAACCCUAGUAUAUUAGUUUGACUUGAGAUAUCAUUAUGUAUCACUGGGAAUGAGAAUGCUUUUGAAAGGUUCAAUGUUUUAAGAUCACUCAUUUUAUUUUAUACAUUGCCCUAUAGUGUCAGACAAGAUUUCCGCAGGGAGCAAAGCAUAGGGGAAAGCAUAAAUUUGUUAAAAGGUAAAUUUAGUUACACUAUCUUCUUCUAGUAUUCUCAGUACAACUGUGAGAUUACCUUAGACUCACAUGUAUUCACAUGUAUUGUGGGCACAUUUACUGUUUGUGAAUGUGUUUGAGAAUCUAAAGCAAGUAUGAUCCAUAGUGAUGUGCUCAAGAAUGGAAUUUUGGAAAGGAAAAAAAAAAGCCACUAAUUGUAACACAUAUCAUUGAAGCAAGGAGUGGUCCUUAAUUGAAUACUCUUAGUUUCCACACAGUGACCAAAUUUUCUUUAUUUGGCAAAAAGUGUGCCUUAAACUUAGAUAUUUCUAGUGGUGAUAUGUAAGCAGACCAAAAGGGAGUAGAAUUAGGAAUAGGUGAAAAGGCUCAAUUUUCAGUGAGUCUAAAUUGGCCUUCCUACCAACGUGGCCCUUGGAAAUCUUAGUUGGUACAAAAAGAGCUGUCAGAAUUAAAUAUUAAAGUAAAUCCUUACGCUUAUGCCUUACAUACCUAAAAAUAUUUCCUACUACUUAUUUCAGACCUCUGGGCCUAUGGUCAGUAGUAAGCAUUAUGCCUACCAGGAAGUGAUUGGAGAGUUGGAUCAUUCAGCCUCAAGGUUUAAAAUCCACAGAUGAGAUUUCAGUGAGAUGAAGUCAGUGUGAGGCUAAACAGCUUUGAUCUUCACUAAGUUUCAGUGGUUUUGUGUGCUGCUUUCUCAUGCCUUGUUGAAGAGCAGGAGUGGCUGUAAAACAUGUGAAGAAGCAGUACUCGAGUUUACCACAGAUGGCAACUAUGUGCCCUGAACUUCUGUGAGGGUAUUUCUGAGGUCAUCAGCAGUCCCAUGGGGGAAAUGAGUCAGCAAAAGCGUAAGUGAUUUCAACACCUUUGCUAUAAACUCUAUAGAUUAGUAAUAGGAACUUUACAAAAGUUUUGCUAAUUUAAGGCCUGCGAGACUUUCCACUGAGUAACUUCUGUUCCACAGAAUGAUCCACACUGCCGUAAUAUUUGCAUUAAGGCUGUGCUAGGGAUUCAAGGAGGAACGAGAUUUUAUUUGGGGGCUGUAACAAUCCCUGCCUUAGAAAAUGUUAGACCUUACCCGAGACAAGACACAGCUAGCUAUAAACUCAGUGAUUGAUGAACAUUAAGGUUCUGAGGAUAUUACUGUGACAGAAAAAGAUAGGUGUUUCUGCCACAAUUUAGAAGUACAGAAGAACUUGUUUUUCAAGAGGUAGAUAAACCUUGGUUGGUUGUACCAUUAAGCAAUACUAAUAGGAAAACUUACAUCUGAAAGUGAAAUGAAAAUUAAAGAAGCAGUUUCCACUCACACACAAGCCUCUGGAAUGUGAUAAAAUAAUAAGGAAAAGCAUGCAUGCCUUAAACUGUAACAUUCUUCAGAAGUAAGCACAGAAAUCUGUAUCUAAUCAAAAAGGAAGGAAUGUGUCAUAUGGGCAUAUCAGUGGACAGGAAAACUGGCCUAGUAAACCAGGUGACUGCCAGGAUAGCUAGAGAGUGUAUGCAGCUAUCAGUAAUGUGGGUAGUAAAGUUCAGAUGUCAUUCCACUGCUGUGGUCUGUAAAACAUAAUGAAUCUGUCCUUAUAUGAUUCUAGAAUUAGACUCCCAAACUGAAGCUACACCCUGACAACUUGCAGGUAAUACAAAUAUAAGCAGAAUACAAAUAUGAAAUACAUAUGUCUUGGAGACUGUUCAUUCAUGAAAUUUUCUCUAAUAAUUCCCCAAAUAACUAAAUCCUAUGUAACAGCACACAAAGAUUCUAUGUCCACCAGAGUGGACAAUAAUGCAGCAAACUGGGAAGUUUUGUCCCAUUGUUCCAGGCAUCCCAUAUAUUAAAUUCAUACAAUCAUAUCUGGAAUAUAUAAGUUAUUUCAGUCUUCAACUACUUUAGGAAACCCAGACAUAAGCCCUCUCAUGGGCAUAUUCAUCAGUGUGCUCUCUGGUUACAAGUGAUUUUCCCAGUCCAAGAUCCAAAUACCUAAUGCAGUGCCCUAAAAGCAUUUUGCAGAAUUGUGAGUCUCCUACAGCACUCUGUGGGUUCAAUACAAUGACGGAACGUAUUCAUCCAUCAGUGGAGCUUUCCAUCUGUGACAGGUUGAAGGUGUGAAGUAUUCAAAUAUCCCUCAUUUUUCUCUAAUGUUUCAGGAGAUAAUGAAAUGGAAAUCACAUAUAUUAAAUGCAAAAAAUGUUGAAAGCCAACACGUUUUAGAUCAGUGGAUUACACACGCAUUUUAUUGUCUGUUGCCAGGGAAAAGGUGUAAGAAAUGCUGUGGGUUACAAGCUUUACACACUCUAUGUAUAGGUUUUGUGCUGCCUUGUAAUGACAAGAUUGUUGCUGUUCAAAUGCAGCCACCUAUAUUACUUCAGCUGCUUGCAUCUGUUCUGGAUUUACAUAUAAUGAGUGAGAGCAGAAGAACUGUAGCUUGGUGUAAAUUUUAUUUGAAAAUUACCUUAGAGAAGCAUACAGUAAGAGUUUAAUUAGGUUACUGAAAAUGCUACAAUUUUUACUUAAUGGUAGUUUACGCGCAAAAGCA